UACGUAGGGUGCGAGCGUUGUCCGGAAUUAUUGGGCGUAAAGGGCUCGUAGGCGGUUUGUCGCGUCUGCUGUGAAAACCUAAGGCUCAACCUUGGGCUUGCAGUGGGUACGGGCAGACUAGAGUGCGGUAGGGGUGACUGGAAUUCCUGGUGUAGCGGUGGAAUGCGCAGAUAUCAGGAGGAACACCGGUGGCGAAGGCGGGACUCUGGGCCGAUACUGACGCUGAGGAGCGAAAGCGUGGGGAGCGAACAGG
rnacentral:rRNA from 1 species